GGGCGAAUGGUUUAGUGGUAUAAUACUCCCUUAGCAUCAUAAUUCAUCCGAAUAGUGUGGGAGUGGUCCAGGGUUCGAUUCCCUGUUCGUCCA
rfam:Fusarium oxysporum f. sp. lycopersici 4287 chromosome 4, whole genome shotgun sequence.